GAAUCAUAAUUAAGUGUGAAUUUAUAGGUAAGCGUAAUAAAGUGUUUUAAGUGUUUCCCAGCGAGAUAUAUUCAGUUGCUGGCCACUGCAAGGCCAUUGGCCCAACAGUCUCCGCUGCUGGCCCUGGGCGUUAAUACCUUUGACCUGCUGAUCCAGCUGGCGAGGGGGGGGGGCGUACACCCCUCACUACAGCCUGCAGUCACCCGCCUCACUUGUGCCUUCCUGAAGGAGGCAGGGCAGCCACCAAGCCUGUGGUUGGCUCACAGGAAGCCCCCAGAGCAUAAAAGUGACGAUGCAGGGGCAUCAUUGCAGCCCUAGAGAGGAAGAGGAACAUGGCUGAAGACUUGGUUAAAAGAUUAGUCAAAUAUAGUGUUGAAACAGAUCUUUAAAGUGUUCACAGCAAUUCGGCUUUCAUUUGUAAACAAAGAGCAGACAGCUAGGAAGAUGACACCAGCAGCGGCAGGCGGCGACAGGCAGUGUGACACCGUAGCCCUCCGCUCUGCCUGACAUGUGCUGCGUGCCACGCAACCAAACUCAAGUGGAACAUGCACUGUUACAUGUACCAGAUUAUCGGACACGCCUAACAAGUGUGGCGCCAUUCGUAAGGCAACAAAACUGCUUGUCUUGAAAGAAAGUCCAGUGACAGAGACAACCUUGGCCAGUGUUGUGUUCGCUUCCUGACAGGGCGGGGAUUGUGACCAGGAAUUUGUCCAGCUUCCUCUUUGCCUUGGAAAGUGCAUUCCUGGCUGAGUGUGGUGCGUGUGCCUGCUUCUUGUGUGGUGGUGCUGCUGCUGCGUGAAGCCUCUGCCGUGGGAACCCACCACAAAUAGCUAAUGGAUUCUGUAUGACGGGAUCAGCAGCAGACAGAAUUCCAGUGAUGUAUUAACAUGCCUAGGGACAGCCUUGGGGGCAUCCAUUACUGGCAGAAGCCCGAGUGUGCUGAGUGAUGGGGCGGCAUGACCUUGCACAUCAGAGGGUCAGGUCAGUGUGUGCAUUGUGCAUAUUGUGCCUUAGUGGCCUGUCAUCUCUCUCUCUCUCUCUCUCUCUCUCUCUCUCUCUCUCUCUCUCUCUCUCUCUCUCUCUCUCUCUCUCUCUCUCUCUCUCUCUCUCUCUCUCUCUCUCUCUCUCUCUCUCUCUCUCUCUCUCUCUCUCUCUCUCUCUCUCUCUCUCUCUCUCUCUCACACACACACACACACACACACACACACACACACACACACACACACACACACACACACACACACACACACACACACGCACACACACACUCUUGAUCAUGUGAAGAUGGAGAUAGAGAUCAAAGAAGAAGUGCCAAAAUUCAAUGAGGAAUAUAAAAAUGAGAGAAAAAAUUAUGCUAAGGCAGACUUUACAGGGUUAAAGAAAUUCCACGGAGAGCUUGAUUGGAAUAAUUUAUUAAGAGGUAUGGAGGUGCAGAAAAAAUAUGAAGUGUUUUUAAGCAAGUUUAGAGGUGUUGAAAGAUAUGUGCCAAGAUAUAAGGUAAAAGAAAAUAAGAAAGUGUGGUUUAAUGCAAAGUGUGCAGAGGCAAAAAAGAAAAAGGAGAGGGCAUGGAAAAAAAUGAGGAAACAAUGGAAUGAGAUAAAUAGAGAAGAAUACAGGACAGCUAGAAAUGAUUAUGUUAAAAUAAGAAGAGAAAAAGAAAGAAAUUUUGAAAGAGAUGUAGUUGGAAAGUGUAAAGAAGAACCCAAACUUUUCUAUAGAUAUGUAAAUGGAAAAAUAAAGCAUAGAGAUACUAUUACAAAGCUGAAGGAAAAUGGAGAAAUUUAUGAAACCACACAAGAGAUGGCUGAGAUACUGAAUAAAAGCUUUAAGUCUGUAUUUACAAGAGAAACUGUCUUUGCAUCACUGGGAGAUGAGGAACAACAGAAAGGAAUAGAAAACAUACAAGUGGAAAGAAAAGAAAUUGAAAGACUACUGGAAGAGCUAGAUACUAGGAAGGCGAUGGGGCCAGACGAAGUAAAUGGAUGGAUAUUGAAAGAAUGUAGAGAGGAAUUGGAAGAACCAAUAUGGGAGAUAAUUAACAGUUCUUUAAAGGAAGGAAAAGUACCAAAGGAAUGGAAGAGAGCAAAUAUAGUACCGUUAUACAAAGGAGGUAAUAAAAUGGAACCACUGAAUUACAGACCAGUCUCACUCACGAGUAUUGUAAGUAAACUCUGUGAAAUAGUCAUUAAAAACAGAUGGGUGCAAUAUCUUGAACAAGAAAAUAUAAUAACAGAAAAACAAUUCGGUUUCAGGAAAGAGAGAUCUUGCGUAACAAACUUACUGAGCUUUUAUACAAGAGUAAUAGAUAAACUACAAGAGAGAGAUGGUUGGGUUGAUGCUGUCUAUUUAGAUCUGAAAAAAGCUUUUGAUACAGUUCCACAUAAAAGACUCAUAUGGAAACUGGAACAUCGAGGAGGGAUAAAAGGAAAAAUACUUAAGUGGAUGAAGGAUUAUCUCCAAGGUAGGGAAAUGAGUACAGUAAUCAGAGAUGAUAAAUCAAGUUGGUGCGAAGUAACAAGCGGAGUACCACAAGGGUCUGUGUUGGCACCUAUAAUGUUUCAGGUCUAUAUAAAUGAUAUGACGGUGGGUUUAAAUUGCUACAUUAAUAUGUUUGCAGAUGAUGCAAAAUUGAUGAAAGUAAUAAAGAACCAAGAGGAUUGUGAGGAACUACAGAGGGAUAUUGAUAGAAUUUAUGAAUGGAGUAAACGAUGGAAAUUAGAAUUCAAUAUAAAGAAGUACCAUGUAAUGGAGAUGGGAAGAAGUAAAAGGAGACCUUCAUGGGAGUAUAAGAUGGGAGGAAUCACAAUACCAAAGAGCAAAGAAGAAAAAGACUUGGGAGUAAUAAUUCAAGACACGCUAUCACCAGAAAAACACAUCAAUGGAAUAUUUGGCUCUACAUAUAAUUUGCUAGCAAAUAUCAGGGUGGCAUUUAAUUACCUAGACAAAGAAAUGAUGAAGAAAAUCAUAACACACAUGAUACGUCCCAAACUGGAAUACGCAGCAGUGGUAUGGUCUCCACACAAAAAGAAAGAUAUAAGGAAAUUGGAAAGAAUACAAAGAACAGCUACGAAAAUGAUGCCUGAAUUGGAAGACCUAAGUUACAAGGAAAGACUGGAAGAAAUUGGAUUACCAACACUGCAAGAAAGAAGGGAAAGAGGAGACCUGAUAACAAUGUUCAAAUUAGUAAAUGGCAUGGAGAAGAUAGACAGAGAUGACCUAGUUGUAAAAGUGGAGGAAGGAGAUAGACGUACAAGGGGACAUAUGAAGAAAUUAAAGAAGAGUCAUUGUUUGGGAGAUAUUAAGAAAUACAGCUUUCCGCAUCGAACGGUUGAAAUAUCGAAUAACUUAAAAGAAGAGGUAGUUGCGGCAAAGAGUGUGCACAUGUUUAAAGAGAAAUUGGACAAAUUCGGUUAUGGAGACAGGACUAAUUGAGCUUUGGCUCGGACCCUGUAUUAUACAACUAGGUAAAUACAACUAGGUAAAUACACACACACACACACACACACACACACACACAGAAGAUGUUGAAAUGGGAGAAGGAAUGGCGGAAGUAAUUAUAAUUCAAACAGAAAGGAAGGGAGAAGGAAGAAGAGAUUUUGCAGUGGCUUAUGUAUCCCCAAAGAUGAAUGCAUGGACACAAGAGGAUGGAAUAGAUGGAGAAAAAAGGAGGAAGUGAGAAAUGGAAAGAAUUCGAGGAGGUAAGAAACGAAUAUAUCAGAAUCCUGAGAGAUGAAGAAAGGAAUUAUGAGAAAGAUAUAGUUAACAAGUGCAAAGAUGAGCCAAAGUUAUUCUUCAGAUGUGUGAAUGGGAAGAUGACGUUACAUAUGAAGAUACACGGUUACAAGCGGAAUUAAUGAACAAGUGCUUCCAGUCAGUAUUCACCAAAGAAAGCAAAUUUGAAGGAGAAAGAGCAUGGCACAGAAACAAUGUGAUGAGAGAGAUACAGGUGGACGUAAGUGAAAUUAAGAACAUUAUGAAAGUUUUGGAUGUAAGUAAGGCUCAAUGACCGAAUGGAGUGUCCAACUGGAUACUUAAGGAAUGUUGUGAACAACCAGCAGGGAGU